rnacentral:lncRNA from 1 species
AGGAUUCGGCCCCUGCUCCUGCUGAACCUGCUGAUGUUGCUGCUCCAGCUGCUGAGCCCAAAUCAGACGCCAAACCUGCUGCUGUUGCUGCUCCAGUGCCUGAGACCAAAUCAGACGCCGAGCCUGCUGCUGUUGCUGCUCCAGCGCCUGAGACCAAAUCAGACGCUGAGCCUGCUGCUGUUGCUGCUCCAGCUCCUGAGACCAAAUCAGUAGCCGAGCCUGCUGCUGUUGCUGCUCCAGCGCCUGAGACCAAAUCAGAUGCCGAGCCUGCUGCUGUUGCUGCUCCAGUGCCUGAGACCAAAUCAGAUGCCGAGCCUGCUGCUGUUGCUGCUCCAGUGCCUGAAACGAAAUCAGAUGCUGAGCCUGCUGCUGAUGCUGCUCCAGUUCCUGAGAUGAAAUCAGAGUCCGAGCCUGCUGCUGUUGCUGCUCCAGCGUCUGAAACCAAAUCAGACGCCGAGCCUGCUGCCGUUGCUGCUCCAGCGCCUGAGACCAAAUCAGAUGCCGAGCCUGCUGCUGCUGCUGCUCCAGUGCCUGGAACCAACUCAGAUGCUGCUGCUACUGAUCCAGCACCUGGAACC